GAUGAACGCUGGCGGCGUGCCUAAUACAUGCAAGUAGAACGCCGAAGCUUGGUGCUUGCACCGAGCGGAGGAGUUGCGAACGGGUGAGUAACGCGUAGGUAACCUGCCUCUUAGCGGGGGAUAACUAUUGGAAACGAUAGCUAAUACCGCAUAAAAGUCGACAUUGCAUGAUGUUGACUUGAAAGGUGCAAAUGCAUCACUAAGAGAUGGACCUGCGUCGUAUUAGCUAGUUGGUGGGGUAACGGCUCACCAAGGCGACGAUACAUAGCCGACCUGAGAGGGUGAUCGGCCACACUGGGACUGAGACACGGCCCAGACUCCUACGGGAGGCAGCAGUAGGGAAUCUUCGGCAAUGGACGGAAGUCUGACCGAGCAACGCCGCGUGAGUGAAGAAUGUUUUCGGAUCGUAAAGCUCUGUUGUAAGAGAAGAACGAGUGUAAGAGUGGAAAGUUCACACUGUGACGGUAUCUUACCGGAAAGGGACGGCUAACUACGUGC
rnacentral:rRNA from 1 species